AUUGAACGCUGGCGGCAUGCUUUACACAUGCAAGUCGAACGGCAGCGCGGGCUUCGGCCUGGCGGCGAGUGGCGAACGGGUGAGUAAUGCCUCUUAACGUGCCCAGUCGUGGGGGAAAGGCCGGCGAAAGCCGGAUUAAUACCGCAUACGACCUGAGGGUGGAAGCGGGGGAGCGAAAGGCCUCGCGCUAUUGGAGCGGCCGAUUUCGGAUUAGCUAGUUGGUGGGGUAAAGGCUUACCAAGGCGACGCUCCUUAGCUGGUCUGAAGGGACGGCCCGCCACAUUGGGACUGAGACACGGCCCACACUCCUACGGGGGGCAGCGGUGGGGAAUUUUGGACAAUGGGGGCAACCCUGAUCCUGCCAUGCCGCGUGCGGGAAGAAGUUCUUCGGGUUGGAGACCGCUUUUGUUCGGGAAGAAAUCCUCUGGGCUAAUACCCCGGGGGGAUGACGGUACCGGAAGAAGAAGCACCGGCUAACUACGUG
rnacentral:rRNA from 1 species